UACGUAGGGCGCAAGCGUUGUCCGGAAUUAUUGGGCGUAAAGGGCGCGUAGGCGGUUACUCAAGUCGGAUGGGAAAGCCCUCGGCUUAACUGAGGAAGUGCACCCGAAACUGAGUAGCUAGAGUACUAAAGAGGGUCGCGGAAUUCCCGGUGUAGAGGUGAAAUUCGUAGAUAUCGGGAGGAACACCGGUGGCGAAGGCGGCGACCUGGGUAGAUACUGACGCUGAGGCGCGAAAGCGUGGGGAGCAAACAGG
rnacentral:rRNA from 1 species